UGGGGAAUUUUGGACAAUGGGCGAAAGCCUGAUCCAGCAAUGCCGCGUGUGUGAAGAAGGCCUUCGGGUUGUAAAGCACUUUUGUCCGGAAAGAAAUCCUUGGCUCUAAUACAGUCGGGGGAUGACGGUACCGGAAGAAUAAGCACCGGCUAACUACGUGCCAGCAGCCGCGGUAAUACGUAGGGUGCAAGCGUUAAUCGGAAUUACUGGGCGUAAAGCGUGCGCAGGCGGUUUGCUAAGACCGAUGUGAAAUCCCCGGGCUCAACCUGGGAACUGCAUUGGUGACUGGCAGGCUAGAGUAUGGCAGAGGGGGGUAGAAUUCCACGUGUAGCAGUGAAAUGCGUAGAGAUGUGGAGGAAUACCGAUGGCGAAGGCAGCCCCCUGGGCCAAUACUGACGCUCAUGCACGAAAGCGUGGGGAGCAAACAGGAUUAGAUACCCUGGUAGUCCAGCGCCCUAAACGAUGUCAACUAGUUGUUGGGGAUUCAUUUCCUUAGUAACGUAGCUAACGCGUGAAGUUGACCGCCUGGGGAGUACGGUCGCAAGAUUAAAACUCAAAUGAAUUGACGGGGUCAUAGCUGUUUCCU
rnacentral:rRNA from 1 species